rnacentral:lncRNA from 10 species
GGGCCAAAUCUGCAGUUUGGUUGCUUUCUCCUGCAGUCAAGGUGGGAGUCUUAAAAGCACGGGGAGAAUACGUCUACUCAGCAGGGAGCAAUUUGGGAUGACGCAAGCAUUCAUAGGAAGUAUGGAGAGGCUUGGACGUUGGGCUGAGCUGCAGCAGUGAUUUCACGCAAACAGGACCCAGGAUGACAACUUUUAUUACCUAAACCUAUAACCAGAGUCUUUGGAAUUGGGCCAGAG